UAGGGAAUCUUCCGCAAUGGGCGAAAGCCUGACGGAGCAACGCCGCGUGAGUGAUGAAGGUCUUCGGAUCGUAAAACUCUGUUAUUAGGGAAGAACAUAUGUGUAAGUAACUGUGCACAUCUUGACGGUACCUAAUCAGAAAGCGACGGCUAACUACGUGCCAGCAGCCGCGGUAAUACGUAGGUGGCAAGCGUUAUCCGGAAUUAUUGGGCGUAAAGCGCGCGUAGGCGGUUUUUUAAGUCUGAUGUGAAAGCCCACGGCUCAACCGUGGAGGGUCAUUGGAAACUGGAAAACUUGAGUGCAGAAGAGGAAAGUGGAAUUCCAUGUGUAGCGGUGAAAUGCGCAGAGAUAUGGAGGAACACCAGUGGCGAAGGCGACUUUCUGGUCUGUAACUGACGCUGAUGUGCGAAAGCGUGGGGAUCAAACA
rnacentral:rRNA from 1 species